AGAAAGCAGAGAAAGUUUUUUCUCUGUUUGUUGUUUUCCUUUAAACACGAUAGAGAAAACAUUGAUGUAUAUUGUGCUUUUUUAUUAUUAUUUCUUCAUUUCCACAUGUCUUUAUGUUAUUGGUUUAUUUCAAAAUUUGAAAAUAUACUCCAUCUUCUGCAAGUGUACACCGCCCCUCAUUUUUUUGUUUUUUUUAUAGUUUUUAUUAUUAUUUCUCUAUUUUGUUUAUAUUAUUAUUAUUAUGGGUAUUGACUAUUGUCACUAUUAAUUGUUUAUC
rnacentral:lncRNA from 1 species